rnacentral:rRNA from 1 species
UACAGAGGUCUCAAGCGUUGUUCGGAUUCAUUGGGCGUAAAGGGUGCGUAGGCGGCGCGGUAAGUCGGGUGUGAAAGUCCAGGGCUCAACCCUGGGAUGCCGGUCGAUACUGCCGGGCUAGAGUCCGGAAGAGGCGAGUGGAAUUCCUGGUGUAGCGGUGGAAUGCGCAGAUAUCAGGAGGAACACCAAUGGCGAAGGCGGCAUCCUGGACCGGCAUUGACGCUGAGGCGCGAAAGCCAGGGGAGCAAACGGG